CACCGCGGUGAUACGAAAGGCCCAAGUUGACAGACCCCGGCGUAAAGCGUGGUUAGGGUAUACCAAAACUAAAGUCGAACGCCCUUAGGGCCGUAAUACGCGUAUAAAGGCAUGAAGCUCCACCACGAAAGUGGCUUUAAUAUCUCCUGACCCCACGAAAGCUAAGGCA
rnacentral:rRNA from 1 species